CAAAAACAGUGAAUUACAAAAGAGAGAGCAAUAGAGAGAGAAUGAAUUUUAAAUCGCCGAAGAAACCCAUAAAGCCACAGGACAAGAACCCGGAUAAGCGCCUUAAACUACGCCGUUUUCAUGCUAGUCUCGAACGUUCCCAUUAACGUAAAAAGAAACUACACUCAAACGCUACAACUUGUUCAAGUUCCAGAUUGUUAAAUCCCGAAUGGGUCGUUUUGGAUUUGCGUUAGUUUGAGUCAUCUCAGCAUCAAACAGGAGAAGGCAAAAAAAGAGAGUAGACAUUGCUUUGCUGUUAAGUGAAUAGAAUUGAUGUGCAAUGCAGAGAUCAAGUAGAGCUCUUCUUGAUAGGAGAGCUGUGGAAAAGGCGAGCAGUGGAAGGAAAUGGAAUCGGGUUUACCAGGUUUCUUUGUCGUUGGUUUUUGUUUUGUGGGGACUUGUCUUGCUUUUGAGCUUGUGGAUCAGUCGUGGUGAUGGUUAUAGAGCUUCAUAUGUAUUGGACGUGCGUUGUCAAAGAUUGGAUAGCUUUUGAUCGAAAGAAAUCAAAUAUGAAUUUAUUCGGGGAAAACGCCUUUGCUGUUAAAUUAAUAUGCUGAUCAAGUGUUUUUGUUUGGAUUACUGUUUUAUAGUUCAUGCAUGAGCUGUUUGGCUUUUAAGUUUUGAUAUGUAUGUGUUGUGUGUAUACCAUUGAAGUAAUUGAUGCAUUAUGCCUCUCUGUUUUAGCUCCAUAUGUAUAUGUGAUGCAUCAUUGUAAAUUUGAUAGCUUCUCAUAAAAUCAAAUUCAAUAUGAAUAAAAUACAUGAAAUGAAGGUUAUCAUUAUCAUAUUAUAAAUCUUUGAAACAUGGAAAGUUAAGGAAUGGAUUGAUAUAGUAAUUACAUUUUCUUUA